UGGGGAAUAUUGGACAAUGGGCGCAAGCCUGAUCCAGCCAUGCCGCGUGGGUGAAGAAGGCCUUCGGGUUGUAAAGCCCUUUUGUCCGGAAAGAAAUCCUGUCGGCUAACACCCGGCGGGGAUGACGGUACCGGAAGAAUAAGCACCGGCUAACUUCGUGCCAGCAGCCGCGGUAAUACGAAGGGUGCAAGCGUUACUCGGAAUUACUGGGCGUAAAGCGUGCGUAGGUGGUUCGUUAAGUCCGAUGUGAAANCCCUGGGCUCAACCUGGGAAUGGCAUUGGAUACUGGCGGGCUAGAGUGCGGUAGAGGAUGGCGGAAUUCCCGGUGUAGCAGUGAAAUGCGUAGAGAUCGGGAGGAACAUCUGUGGCGAAGGCGGCCMUCUGGACCAGCACUGACACUGAGGCACGAAAGCGUGGGGAGCAAACAGGAUUAGAUACCCUGGUAGUCCACGCCCUAAACGAUGCGAACUGGAUGUUGGGAGCAACUAGGCUCUCAGUAUCGAAGCUAACGCGUUAAGUUCGCCGCCUGGGGAGUACKGUCGCAAGACUG
rnacentral:rRNA from 1 species